rnacentral:rRNA from 1 species
GGUGUUCGGGUUGUCAUGCCAAUGGCACUGCCCGGUAGCUAAAUGCGGAAGAGAUAAGUGCUGAAAGCAUCUAAGCACGAAACUUGCCCCGAGAUGAGUUCUCCCUGACUCCUUGAGAGUCCUGAAGGAACGUUGAAGACGACGACGUUGAUAGGCCGGGUGUGUAAGCGCAGCGAUGCGUUGAGCUAACCGGUACUAAUGAACCGUGAGGCUUAACCUU